rnacentral:rRNA from 1 species
GACGAACGCUGGCGGUGCGCCUUAUGCAUGCAAGUUGAGCGAAGCUUUUCAGUAGUUUACUACAGAAAAUGACUGAGCGGCGAACGGGUGAGUAACGCGUGAGCAAUCUACCUUAGUUACUGGGAUAGCCCGAGGAAACUCGGAUUAAUACCGGAUAUUCUUAUUUUUUCACGUGAAGUUUUAAGGAAAGGUCAGCCGAACUAAGAUGAGCUCGCGUUCUAUCAGCUAGUUGGUGGGGUAAAAGCCUACCAAGGCUACGACGGAUAGCUGGUCUGAGAGGACGAUCAGCCACACUGGGACUGAGACACGGCCCAGACUCCUACGGGAGGCUGCAGCAGGGAAUAUUGCGCAAUGAGCGAAAGCUUGACGCAGCGACACCGCGUGUGGGAUGGCGGUUCUAGGAUUGUAAACCACUUUCAGGAGGGAAGAAAAUGACGGUACCUCCACAAGAAGACCCGGCCAACUACGUG